rnacentral:rRNA from 1 species
UACGGGGGAGGCAAGCGUUGUUCGGAAUUACUGGGCGUAAAGGGCUCGUAGGUGGCCAACUAAGUCAGACGUGAAAUCCCUCGGCUUAACCGGGGAACUGCGUCUGAUACUGGAUGGCUUGAGUUUGGGAGAGGAAUGCGGAAUUCCAGGUGUAGCGGUGAAAUGCGUAGAUAUCUGGAGGAACACCGGUGGCGAAGGCGGCAUUCUGGACCAAUACUGACGCUGAGGAGCGAAAGCGUGGGGAGCGAACAGG